rnacentral:lncRNA from 1 species
GUCAGCGAGCCGAGCCGUAUCCCACACUGACAUAAAUCUCUGUGACUUGUUCUUGACAAGGUUAAUUGACUCGGUGGAGAUGGAAAUGGCGCAGGAACUGCUGGACGGACCGCUGCACGAAAUCAACAAAACCAGUAAGUAUAAUUUCCACUUCAACACCCAUCAGUGCAAGUACCUGCGAAGCCAAUGCUCGGUGGUCGAAGAAUACGUGCGGCUUUGGCAGAGCUGCUCCGAACUUAAGCCACUUCCCCUGGCCAUACAGGAGCUCGGUUGUAUGCUGAACAGAGCCUUGCAGCUUCUCAAGCAGUGCCAAGACGAGACAUGGCUAUACCAUGCUGCAGUCCGGCUCACUGAUUCCAGAGCCUUUGCGGAGAUCUGCUUGUGUCUGGGUAGAUUGACGGCCUUGGUCAAUGCUCACAUGAUGCAUUGCGCCACGGAUAUUGGGAGCCCGGGUGUGCAGUACCUCAUGGCCAUGCCUUACAAGCGCAAGCACAUAGAGAACCUGCGUUCAGCGAUGGAGGACCUGAGUCCCUGCACAUCAAGAGAUAGAAAGGAGCUCUUCAUGAGAGCAAAUUCCAUCACAGAAACUGACAACAGGUAUGUUCUGGCACAGUACCUUGUUAACAAGCUGAUGUCAAGCAGAGGAGGAGCCGUUGCCACCAUUCAGGCCCUCGAACUGAAAACUUUGAUAGGUUCGGGUGCAUUUGGUUCUGUGUACAAGGCUGAAUGGCUGGGGGCACCAGUUGCUGUGAAAGAGUUUAGAAGCGGUGAUGCUUCAUUCGACAAGGAGGUGAACAUCCUGAAAGAACUUAUUUUAGAACCGCACCCGAGCGUGCUUCAGAUGAUAGGAUACUAUCAGAAGGAUGAGAAGGCUUACCUUGUCAUGGAGCUGAUGGAAAGGGACCUGACCAGUGUCAUAAGGAAGGCUGAAGGCUCGCUGCAACUUUUAACUUCUGUAGACAUUAUGCUCCAGAUCGCAAGCGGCAUGAGCUACCUCCAUCAAAGGAAUGUGGUUCAUCGAGACCUCAAGCCUUCGAAUGUCCUAGUUAAGACAUUAAAGAACCAUGCCUGCACCACUUGUUUCGACGCGAGGUUAACAGACUUCGGAGUCUCAAAGUCGAACUUUAUAAGCUUUGCACCGGACUUGUCUUACCAAAGGGGGACGAUCCAAUACAUGGCUCCAGAGAUGCUGAGGGGCCAGAAGUACUCCAGAGAAGUUGACGUAUACAGCUUCGGAAUUACUUGCUUCCAGAUCCUGACUGGAACGCUGCCAUUUCAGGACGAUGGCAAGCAGCUGGUGGCAGAUAAACUGGUCGAGGCGAUCGAAGAUGGAAAUAGGCCUGACCUUCCAACAGGCUGUCCACUGGAGCUGGUUGUUCUCCUCAACAGGUGCUGGAACAGGAAUCCGAAAGAUAGACCAACCUUCGAACAGAUAUCCAGGAUGCUGUGGUCGCUAAAGGAAAGGUUGCUUGGUGGGUACAACCUCGAAUCCAGCUUCACAGGCAGUGAUAUGUCUAGUUGCAAAGCUGCCGAAGAGCUGACACUCGCUGCGGGAGAUAUGAUCUGCCAGAUCUCUGUUGCUGCUCCGUUCACAAAUUUUCACCAGUGCCACUUCUUGCAGUCGAGGUGCAAGCAGAUUUUCAGCUACCGGGAAUUUCCGACUAAGCUGGGACUUCGCUCAUGGUUUGCCGUUCAGAUAAAACUGGUGACUACCUUGAGAACUGCGUUGUCGCUGAUAGAGUCUUACAGUGAAGAUAGGUGGUUGCAUAUGGCAGUGCUGAACGAGCAUAACCCGUGGGCAUUCAGAAAAGCUCUUGACGAUAUCAACAGAUGUGAAACCACACUGAGAGCCAUAAACCCUGGUAACCACAGUGAUAACAUAAUGACGUUCCCUGCUGUUCCUGAGCAAUAUGUGGAAGAUGAUAAAAAGAGACUGGCAGAAAGCAUUAAAGGCUUACUCGAUGCAUCGGACGAGGCGACAGUUAAGUUGGCAAAAUAUUUAGUUCAAAAGUCAGCUGCUGAUUCAGUUUUUCCGUGCAUCAGUCCAGAGGAAAUCGUACUGCUCGAUUUUGUAGGAAUGUCAAACCAUGGGACGAUGUUUAGAGGAAGAUGGCUAGACGUACCUGUGAUGGUAAAAGCCCUUGGAACAGGAAAUGAAGCUGAAAAGCUCCUGAAGGAGCUUGACAAAGGGCACGCAGAACUUAGAAACAGGCCCCAUCCAAAUGUAACGCAAGUUUUCGGCUACACAAGGCACGGGAAAAACCUGUUCGUGGUGACCGAGCGGGUCUCUGGAGGCCACUUCCGAGUGACAAAGUUCCCUCUUGUAUUGACCAUCGAGAUCCUGCUUCAAGUUGCUCAAGGCGUGGCCUACUUGCACGAACAUAACUGUGAGCUCUCGGACUUGAAUACGCUGCUGGUGGAAUUUGAGAAAGGCCACUUCGACGAAUUCACCGGUGGCAUCACUAUCAAAGUUUCAGCUCGGUCCAACUUCAGAAAACGAGAUGGACAAAAGAGCUUGAGUACCUUGCCUGGAAGGUUGAAGUAUCCGUUCCACUUCCCCCAUGCACCAGUGGCGGACUUCAGGAAGACCGAUGCGUACAACUUUGGUAUAGCCUGCGUAGGAAUGAUCACCGGGCAAACCAUCGGGGAAGAAAUACUGCUCUCUGGAAAACUACCGCAACUCUCUCACGAUUGCACGGGAAUCAAGGCUGUAAUAGAGAAAUGCCUGAGUUCGCAGCCUCCUGACUUCCAUCAAAUCGUGGAACUCCUGCAAUCAGCUCAACUUAGAAUGGAGUUUCCACCUACAAGCGACAUAGACUACCGACGGAUGCUUCUGGACUCCAGGGCUCAAAUUGGACUCAAGCUCGACAUAACGGGAGACGCAGUAAUUGGUGGCAAGCUCAUUGCUGUUGGAAACGUAGACAAUGUGGGUAACAGGCUCUACCAGUGGAUCCGUCAGCACAAAGAUGGAACUAUAGAGCGGUUGCGGCCAUUUCUUGUGACGGAGUUGAACUCUGGGACACUGGAGUAUGAUCUAACAGCCGACGACUUCAACAAGGCAAUCUCACUCACUUGCGUGGAUAUGAACGAAAAGAUCGAAGUUUCCGGCAGAGAAACCACGAACAGUCGAUGGGUUUCCUAUAGUGACACUAUGAAGCGGGCGCUAAAGAUGAUAUGGGGAGCUGGCGAGGCCAAAUUCAAGGUUUUGCAGCUAAGGGAAGAAGAAGGGAGCAAGAAGAGCUACCUGGUGAUUAGAAGGCCGCAUUGCAUGGUGGAGUGGAAGCGCUACUACUUGAAAAGGAUGGAGAUCAAGAUCGCAUUCACCUCCCCGAGGGCCGGCAUCAAAAUAUCCGAGGAGAAUCUGCAAAUUUGCCAGCUGAUCGACAACGGCGGCAUGGAAGCCUGCAAGAUCCGAUUCAAGAACGCGUUCGAGAGAGAUUUGGCAGUGCUUACCUUCCGGCAUUUCUUGCGCAGCGCCUGUGAGAAGGGGAAGCGCUCGGGACGCCGAUGAAAUCGAUGAAAUAUGCUAGGAAAUCGCUAGAAAUUUUGCGAUGCGC